rnacentral:rRNA from 1 species
UACGAAGGGUGCAAGCGUUACUCGGAAUUACUGGGCGUAAAGCGUGCGUAGGUGGUUUGUUAAGUCUGAUGUGAAAGCCCUGGGCUCAACCUGGGAACGGCAUUGGAAACUGGCUUACUAGAGUGCGGUAGAGGGGUGUGGAAUUCCCGGUGUAGCAGUGAAAUGCGUAGAUAUCGGGAGGAACAUCUGUGGCAAAGGCGACACCCUGGACCAGCACUGACACUGAGGCACGAAAGCGUGGGGAGCAAACAGG